UGCAGUCGACGAGAGCUUCGGGUCUAGUGGCGCACGGGUGCGUCGCGUGGGAUCUGCCCUUGGGUUCGGAAUAACAGUGAGAAAUUACUGCUAAUACCGGAUGAUGUCUUCGGACCAAAGAUUUAUCGCCCAGGGAUGAGCCCGCGUAGGAUUAGCUAGUUGGUGGGGUAAUGGCCUACCAAGGCGACGAUCCUUAGCUGGUCUGAGAGGAUGAUCAGCCACACUGGGACUGAGACACGGCCCAGACUCCUACGGGAGGCAGCAGUGGGGAAUAUUGGACAAUGGGCGAAAGCCUGAUCCAGCAAUGCCGCGUGAGUGAUGAAGGCCUUAGGGUUGUAAGCUCUUUUACCCGGGAUGAUAAUGACAGUACCGGGAGAAUAAGCUCCGGCUACUCCGUGCCAGCAGCCGCGGUAUACGGAGGGAGCUAGCGUUGUUCGGAAUACUGGGCGUAAGCGCGCGUAGCGGCUGCUCAGUCAGAGGUGAAAGCCCGGGGCUCACCCCGGAACUGCUUUGAACUAGGUAGCUAGAUCUUGGAGAGUCAGU
rnacentral:rRNA from 1 species